UUGGCUUGAUUCUCAAGGAAGGUCAUCAGCUGUACAUACGAGAAUAUUAAAGAGUAAGAAAUCCCAGUAAUCGACGGGAAAUCCAAGAGAUCUUAAACCUUCGAGAUUUUCAGAGAAUGUGUCUAUUAACAGGCGAUAUGCUUUGGAUGAACUCUCUUGUUUAAUGUGUUUGGAAAGCUAUUGGAUAGUUGGCAUCGGUCAUUGGUAAACCCUUGACCAAGUUGAGCGGCUCUCCCGAUAAGGACGUCAGGAGAUACUGAUAUUUCGCUACGUCGGACAACGAAGCGUUGCUAUCUACCAUUGUGGUAAAGAGGUCAUAAAAACUUGGCCAGGCUUUAUAAUCUCCC